CCACGCCGAGCACCGAGACGAGUCCUAUGAGGACGAAGUGACUGACACCACGCUUCCAGGAAAAGCCACUAAGCUUCAGCUUAAGAAAAACCGUACCCAAACCGACACAGGUAGGCAGGGUGAGAAUCCCAAGGCGCUUGAGAGAACUCGGGUGAAGGAACUAGGCAAAAUGGCACCGUAACUUCGGGAGAAGGUGCGCCCCUUGGUGUGGUCACGUGCGUGACUGAGCAUCGAAGGGUCGCAGUAACCUGGCCGCUGCGACUGUUUAUCAAAAACACAGCACUCUGCAAACACGAAAGUGGACGUAUAGGGUGUGACGCCUGCCCGGUGCUGGAAGGUUAAUUGAUGGGGUCAGCCGCAAGGCGAAGCUCUUGAUCGAAGCCCCAGUAAACGGCGGCCGUAACAAUAACGGUCCUAAGGUAGCGAAAUUCCUUGUCGGGUAAGUUCCGACCUGCACGAAUGGCGUAACGACAGCGGCGCUGUCUCCACCCGAGACUCAGUGAAAUUGAAAUCGCUGUGAAGAUGCAGCGUUCCCGCGGCAAGACGGAAAGACCCCGUGAACCUUUACUAUAGCUUUACGCUGAACGUUGAGUUCUUCUGUGUAGGAUAGGUGGGAGGCUAUGAAACCAGGACGCUAGUUCUGGUGGAGCCAUCCUUGAAAUACCACCCUGAAGUGCUUGACGUUCUAACCUAGGCCCGUAAUCCGGGUCAGGGACCGUGUAUGGUGGGUAGUUUGACUGGGGCGGUCUCCUCCCAAAGAGUAACGGAGGAGCACGAAGGUACGCUCAGCGCGGUCGGACAUCGCGCACUGUGUGCAAAGGCAUAAGCGUGCUUGACUGCGAGAUCGACGGAUCAAGCAGGUACGAAAGUAGGUCUUAGUGAUCCGGUGGUUCUGUAUGGAAGGGCCAUCGCUCAACGGAUAAAAGGUACUCCGGGGAUAACAGGCUGAUACCGCCCAAGAGUUCAUAUCGACGGCGGUGUUUGGCACCUCGAUGUCGGCUCAUCACAUCCUGGGGCUGUAGCCGGUCCCAAGGGUAUGGCUGUUCGCCAUUUAAAGUGGUACGCGAGCUGGGUUCAGAACGUCGUGAGACAGUUCGGUCCCUAUCUGUCGUGGGCGUUGGAGAUUUGAGGGGGGCUGCUCCUAGUACGAGAGGACCGGAGUGGACGUUCCGCUGGUGUUCGGGUUGUCAUGCCCAUGGCAUUGCCCGGUAGCUACGAACGGAAGUGAUAACCGCUGAAAGCAUCUAAGCGGGAAGCACGCCCCAAGAUGAGAUCUCCCGAGAGCUUGACUCUCCUAAAGGCACCAUCAAGACUAGGUGGUUGAUAGGUCAGGUGUGGAAGCGCAGCAAUGCGUUGAGCUAACUGAUACUAAUGAGCCGUGAGGCUUGACCAA
rnacentral:rRNA from 1 species